rnacentral:rRNA from 1 species
GACGAACGCUGGCGGCGUGCCUAAUACAUGCAAGUCGAACGCAGUGGGGACGGGUGUGUAACACGUGGGUAACCUCCCAUCAGAGGGGAUAACACUUGGAAAAAGGUGCUAAACCGAUACUGAUGGAUGGUACCGCGGUGCAUUAGCUAGUUGGUGAGGUAACGGCUCACCAAGGCCACGAUGGAUAGCUGAUCUGAGAGGGUGUACGGCGACACUGGGACUGAGACACGGCCCAGACUCCUACGGGAGGCAGCAGUAGGGAAUCUUCGGCAAUGGGCGAAAGUCUGACCGAGCCAGGCCGCGUGAGUGAAGAAGGUUUUCGGAUCGUAAAACUCUGUUGUUAGAGAAGCGGUAUCUAACCAGAAAGCAACGGCUAACUACGUGCCAGCAGCCGCGGUAAUAC